rnacentral:rRNA from 1 species
GUGCGUAGGCGGUUUGGUAAGUCUGAUGUGAAAUCUAUGGGCUCAACUCAUAGUCUGCAUCGGAAACUGCCGGGCUUGAGUAUGGGAGAGGUGAGUGGAAUUCCUGGUGUAGCGGUGAAAUGCGUAGAUAUCAGGAGGAACACCUGUGGCGAAAGCGGCUCACUGGACCAUAACUGACGCUGAUGCACGAAAGCUAGGGGAGCAAACAGGAUUAGAUACCCUGGUAGUCCACGCCCUAAACGAUGUCAACUAGUUGUCGGGUCUUCAUUGACUUGGUAACGUAGCUAACGCGUGAAGUUGACCGCCUGGGGAGUACGGUCGCAAGAUUAAAACUCAAAGGAAUUGACGGGGACCCGCACAAGCGGUGGAUGAUGUGGAUUAAUUCGAUGCAACGCGAAAAACCUUACCUACCCUUGACAUGGACGGAACCUGGCUGAAAGGCCGGGGUGCUCGAAAGAGAACCGUCGCACAGGUGCUGCAUGGCUGUCGUCAGCUCGUGUCGUGAGAUGUUGGGUUAAGUCCCGCAACGAGCGCAACCCUUGUCCCUAGUU